rnacentral:lncRNA from 10 species
AGACCAUCCUAGCCAACAUGGUGAAACCCCGUCUCUACUAAAAGUACAAAAAAAUUAGCCGGGCGUGGUGGAGCAUGCCUGUAAUCCCAGCUACUCGGGAGGCAGAGCCAGGAGAAUCCCUUGAAUCAGGGAGUUGGAGGUUGCAGUGAGCCGAGAUCGCGCCACAGCACUCUAGCCUAGCGACAGAGCGAGACUCCGUCUCAAAAAAAAAAAAAAGAUUGUCUUCAUCCAAGCCAGUUUCCAUUUCUUGGACACACAUUGCUGGUCAGCCAAUCAGAUGCUGGUAUUGAGGUGAAAACAGAAACGAUUUCUGCCUCUGGAUUCUCUGAGAUUCGUGGGAAAAAUGGUAUCCCUAAAAAACAAAGCAAGACACAAAAACCUGACCCCGGUGAGAUGGUGCAAGAACUUGCAAAGUAAAAUGCACUUGGAAACUCCCUGGGACAUAGUGCAGUGUCUCCUGAGAGGUCAUAAAAGAGAGAUGGGGUUCUGUCAGGCCUCUGAGCCCAAGCCUGCACAUAUACAUCCAGAUGGCCUGAGGCAACUGAAGAACAAUGAAAGAAGUGAAAAUGGCCAGUUCCUGCCUUAACUGAUGACAAUCCACCAUUGUGAUUUGUUCCUACCCCACCCUGACUGAUCAAUUAACCUUGUGACAUUCCUUCUCCUGGACAAUGAGUCUCAGAAGCUCCCUUACCGAGCACCUUGUAAUCCCCCCCACCCCGCUGCCUGCAAGAGAAAAAUUCCCUUUGACUGUAAUUUUCCACUACCUACCCCAAUCCUAUAAAACUGCCCCACCCCUAUCUCCCUUUGCUGGCUCUGUUUUCAGACUCAGCCCACUUGCACCCAAGUGAAAUAAACAACCUUGUUCCUCACACAAAGCCUGUUGGUGGACUCUCUUCACACAGAUGUGUGUGUCAUUUGGUGCUGAAGACCUGGGACAGGGGGAAUCCUUUGGGAGACUGGUCCCCUGUACUCACCCUCACUCCAUGAGGAGAUCCACCCAUGACCUUUGGUCCUCAGACCAGCCCAAGGAACAUCUCACCAAUUUUAAGUCUGCUUAGCAGCUGAAGACUGAUGCCGCCCAACUGCCUUGGAAGCCUCCUAGACCAUCACAGACACUUUGGGUAACUCCUACAGUGGAGGAAGAACCACAAAAGAAGUGAAAAUGUCCAGUUCCUGCCUUAAUUGAUGACAUUCCACCACUGUGAUUUGUUCCUGCCCCACUCUGACUGAUCAAUUAACCUUGUGACCUUCCUUCUCCUGGACAAUGAGUCUCAGAAGCUCCCCCACCAAGCACCUUGUAACCCCCGCCCCUGCCCACAAGAGAAAAACCCCCUUUGACUGUAGUUUUCCACUACCUACCCAAAUUCUAUAAAACUGCCCCACCCCUAUCUCCCUUUGCUGACUCUCUUUUCGGACUCAGCCCACUUGCACCCAAGUGAAAUAAAAAGCCUUGUUGCUCACAC